UACGGAGGAUGCAAGCGUUAUCCGGAAUGAUUGGGCGUAAAGCGUCCGCAGGUGGCUGUGUAAGUCUGCUGUCAAAGAGCAAAGCUCAACUUUGUAAAGGCAGUGGAAACUACACGGCUAGAGUGCGUUCGGGGCAGAGGGAAUUCCGGGUGUAGCGGUGGAAUGCGUAGAGAUCCGGAAGAACACCGGUGGCGAAGGCGGCCUGCUAGACCUGUACUGACACUGAGGGACGAAAGCUAGGGGAGCGAAUGGG
rnacentral:rRNA from 1 species